rnacentral:lncRNA from 1 species
UGCAGAGGCAGGCAGUCUGCAGCAAAAGACUCAGCAGCUCUUGAAGCUUUUGCCACUGGUUUUCUGUAGAAUUUUGCAGUGUGGAGGAGGCUGGGAAAAGAGCUGGUGGUGGUUCUUGCUGUUCGGGGGAGGAGGGAUUGAUGUUGGUGAUGAAUUUGUCUUUCUCUGAGAGAUCAGCUGACUGACGGUACAGAUAGUGGUGCCUUCAGUUGUUAUGUGCUUAAGGAAAAUGGGCAACACAUCUCACUGUUGUUUGGGCAAGAUGCAAAUAAAGUGUGUGUUGCCAGGUGGAAAAUAUGCUCUGCUGGUGACUACACUGAUGCAGACCUUCCUGUUUCCAUUACAAUGAUGGACUCUUCACUUACUGAGCUUGACUGUGCAGAGGCAACGCUACCAGCCAGUCUGAUCCCAUCCAGUGACCACCUCACUUCAGCCCGAGACGUUCUUGCGUCCUCGGCGGAAAGCACGGCACCGGUGACGGGUGAGUCCUUAACCUGGAGCUCAGAGGGGCAGAGGUUUGCACUGGAAGUCUUGGAUAUGCUGAAGUCUGUGCAUUUACUGAGAUGUAAGGGCUGUGUCUUCUGUCUGGUACUGCAGGCUGCCUUGUCAUGGAGGAAGAAUCACCCCAGGGCUUACGUGAGGGAGAGGACGAUGUGCCAACUUCUGCGGCAACGGAGAAAAACAGUGAUAAGGAUCCAGCUGGUCCUGUGUCAGGUACAGUAACUGCUGGCACUCACCCAGUGGUUUGCUUCCAGCACACCUUUUGAAGUGAGGAAGCUGAGUAAGAACAACAAUUUGCG